rnacentral:rRNA from 1 species
CCCUUAGAUGCUCUGGGCCGCACGCGCGCUACACUGGUCGAUGCAACGAGUUUCUUUCCUUGGCCGACAGGCCUGGGCAAUCUUUGAACAUCGAUCGUGAUCGGGAUAGAUUCUUGUAAUUUUUGAUCUUAAACGAGGAAUUCCUAGUAAACGCAAGUCAUCAGCUUGCAUUGAUUACGUCCCUGCCCUUUGUACACACCGCCCGUCGCACCUACCGAUUGAAUGGUCCGGUGAAAUCUCCGGACUGGCGUGAGUCGGAGCAAUCUGACAAACACCGGAAAGUUGAUUAAACCUUACCAUUUAGAGGAAAGUGAAGUCGUAACA